UGUCCCGACCUGGGAAGAGUGCCUUUUAGUUGGUAAUGCCCAUCUCACAUCAGCGAGAGACAAAGCAACCCCUUGUUUAUCCCUGCUUGGCUUUUGGCCUGUGCCCAUGCCUGGUUCAUGCCUUGGACACAUGG
ensembl:snoRNA